rnacentral:lncRNA from 1 species
UCGUUCACGAACAGGCUUGGUCUUGGCUAUUAGCUCCACCUGUUCCACUCUCGCAUGUUCGCCCUUCAUAUCUCUCACGUUCUCAACUGACGUAUCAUCCCUAUCGGCCAUGAAAAAUCAUGGCAGUGAAGAUGAGAGCACGAGAAAAUUUAUGGGUGCAGUGGGUAUCGAGACAGAGAAAAAUAGAAAGCAUCAACAUUUACAAACACAAAAACUGUGUGUAAAAAGGCACCAGAAUUCUCAAAAUCCAUAUGACAUCUG